CUAUUGCUAGUCUCUUGGUGCCUCAACAUCUCUCAUUGGUUCUCCCAACCUUGCCUGCUCCUCUGUGAGUAGUACCUUCAUUAAAUUUUCUCUAAACUCCCAUUUUUCUGUUUCCUCAUAGGGCCCUGAGUAUGAGGAGGUGGGACAGAGAGUGGGUGGCAGUUUGUAAUAUGUCCUCAAGGAGUUGGACUGUCUUGGCUCAGCUAUUUGGGUAUUAAUAAAUUUGCCAGUGGGAGGAACUUUAAGAAAAUUGCAGUGAUUGGUUCUACUCUGUGUGAUGUCAUCAGAGGAGGGUGGAGCUUUGUGGCUAGGGCAGUCCUCCACUUCCGGAGAUCCAGGCUCCAGAAACAGAGGAAUUUCAGGCUUCAGGAUUUCAGAGGCCAAAUUCCAUCUGGCCUAGUCUGCCUGGCUCACGGAAGGAGGUGGAACAGCUGUGCGCACAUCUGCCAGAGGAGCUCUUUAAAGAGCAGAGAGGAUGCUAUUUUCCUACCAGCAGUAGCAGCAGCAGGAUAAGAAAACCGAAGUUCACCAAAGUAAAGUGACUUGUCCAAGACCUCACAGCUAUCAAGUAGAGAAACUGGGAUUUGGAUGCAGGUCUGUCUGACUCCAGACACCGCGAUCUUAACCAUCGAGGCAGAGUUUCUACCUUUUAGGAAUUUCCAAAUAGAGGAGACAACCUCAGGACUUGAACAAUGCAGAAACACAGUCAAAAAUACAAAGAGCUAGGGAGUGAUGCCUAUAUUGUGCUGUGAGGGUUAAUAUCGCUUCCUGUCAAAGGACAAUCUAAGGGAGGUGAUAUUUGUUAAUAUACAAGGUUUUUUUUAAAAGAAGGGGUCAGCUUUGAACACAGUAGUGAUCGCAACUGGGGAGAAGAGCAACCAGGAAGAGGAUAUAUCAUAAGCAAAAGCACUGGUGUGGGAAAGAAUAGGGAUUUGGUGGGAAGUGUGAACGAUACCACUGGUUGGUGUGAAAAUACAGGCAAACCCGAAUAGCUCAUGUCCUCUCAAAUGUUUGUUCAGAAGCCACCAUCUCAGUGAUGCCUAAGCUGACAAUCCCAUUUACAGAUGCAUCAAAAUUUGCCCUCCUUGUUCCUCUUUUCUGCUCUAUUUUUUCUCCAAAGAACUUUUCACCUCUAAUAGACAAUGUACCUUCCCUG
rnacentral:lncRNA from 1 species